UACGUAGGGGGGCAAGCGUUUGUCCGGAAUUAUUGGGCGUAAAGCGCGCGCAGGCGGUUUGGAAAGUCUGGUGUUUAAGGCUGAGGCUCAACCUCAGUUCGCACUGGAAACUGUCAGACUUGAGUACAGAAGAGGAAAGUGGAAUUCCACGUGUAGCGGUGAAAUGCGUAGAGAUGUGGAGGAACACCAGUGGCGAAGGCGACUUUCUGGGCUGUAACUGACGCUGGAGGCGACGAAAGCGUGGGGAGCAAACAGG
rnacentral:rRNA from 1 species